CUGAGAUAGCUCAGUCGGUAGAGAAGGAGACUGUUAAUCUCAAGGUCCUGGGUUCAAGCUCCACAUUGGGCAAGA